UUCAUCUUCUUCUACUUUCCAAAGAAUUUUUAUUUUCUAUCAGAAAAUAAAAAUUUUAAUUUUUUUCUACAUCGGUAAAAAUACUUGUACAAAAAAAUAUAUAUAAACAAGCAAAAAAAUAUAUUUUUCAUAUCGAAAAUAAUUUUUCGAUCCGUCUUACACUAAACCAAAUGCCCCUUUGGGCACGUUUGGUUCGCACUAUAAAAAAUUAUUAGGAAUAAAAAGAUGUCCGAGAAUUUUAUUCCUAUUCAUCUUAUUACUAAGAAUAUGGUAUUUCUGUGUUUGGUUCGCACGGUCAUAUUAUUUAGUGAUUACAAAAAAUAUACAAUUAAUUUAUUUAUUUCUUUAAUUAAUUUUAUAUAAUACUAUCAAAAAUUUUAAUAUUUUUUUAGGAAAAAAAAAGAAAACAUAGGUUAGAGAGAGAGAGCAUAAUUAAAGAAAUAGAAAAAGAAAUAGAGUCGAGGUUAGAGGGAGUGAGAGAGUUGAGAUUUUAGAAAAAGUGGGGGAGAGAGAGCUUAGUUUAGAGAGAGAAAAAGAUAAGUUUAGAGAGAUAUAUGAGGUUAGAAUGUAAAGAAAAAUGAUACCAACUAGCCGGCGAAUAGAAAAAAAUAUCUUUUACUAUAUAGAAAAUCUACGUGUCUAGAUUUUCUAUUUUAGGGAAUAUUUCAAAGUCAUCUAUAACUAUGUUGUGCGGAUAUUAUUACUUUAGGGAAUACGACUAUUUUAGAGAAAAUAAAAUUUUAGUAUCUUUUAUAAUAUUAUUAAAAAUCACCUAUAAUGAAUGAAGGAGAUUUUAUUUCAAAGUCACCUAUAAUUAUGUUGAGAUAUUUGAGAAAUUUACACGAAAGAAUUGGCGGGUGCGGAUAUUACUGCUUUAGGGAAAAUAAUUUACGUGUCAAGUUGAAAUAUAGAUAUUUUACUCUAGGAAAAAUAAAAUUUGAUUUUUUAAGGAAAUAAUACUUUAGAAAAAAUAAAAUUAGAUUUUUUUUAAGGAAAUAAUACUUUAUGGAAAAUAUUUUUCUUCGCUCUUAAAUAUUGAUACUUUAAAAUAGAACAUAUUUCCCUACUGUCACUUCUGUAAUUUUCAUUUCGUAAUUUUUUUUCCUACUGUCACUCCUAUAACUUUUCAUCUUCAUGCAACAAAGUUUUUUUUCUUUAUAUUUUCUUGAAAACCAACAUCUAUAUAUUUUUGAAUAUUAAAAGUGACAGUAGGAAUAUAAUAUAUAUGUGCUUACUCUAAUUUGUGUCAAAUAUGAAAGUUCAGUUGAUCUCAUUAUAUACUUAAAUAUUAAUGUCAUUUGUAAUUUUUCAUAUCAAUUUUAGUUAUCAUUUUAUUUUGCACAUCAAUAUGUAAAUGUAAAUUAUUCUGCACACCAAUUCAUAGAUAAUAGAGCAUGAUUGAAUUUUGCAUUUUAGUUGAAUAUUUACUUUGGUCCAAAUUUUUUUUUCUCGAGCUUGUGUACUUUAAUAUGUACUAUAAUUAAGAUUGAUAGUAUAUUUUUUUAUUUGUUAAAAAAUAUAAAAUUAAUUAAAAAAUUUUUUUUAUUAUCAUCACAUAAUAAUUUUUAUUAUUCUAUAUUAUUAUAUUAGCCGUGCAUCGCACGGGUGAAAAUCUAGUUUUUCACCUGUAAUCACUAC
rnacentral:lncRNA from 1 species